UAGGGAAUCUUCCGCAAUGGGCGAAAGCCUGACGGAGCAACGCCGCGUGAGUGAUGAAGGUCUUCGGAUCGUAAAACUCUGUUAUUAGGGAAGAACAAAUGUGUAAGUAACUAUGCACGUCUUGACGGUACCUAAUCAGAAAGCCACGGCUAACUACGUGCCAGCAGCCGCGGUAAUACGUAGGUGGCAAGCGUUAUCCGAAAUUAUUGGGCGUAAAGCGCGCGUAGGCGGUUUUUUAAGUCUGAUGUGAAAGCCUACGGCUCAACCGUAGAGGGUCAUUGGAAACUGGAAAACUUGAGUGCAGAAGAGGAAAGUGGAAUUCCAUGUGUAGCGGUGAAAUGCGCAGAGAUAUGGAGGAAGAACAGUGGCGAAGGCGACUUUCUGAUCUGUAAAUGACGAUGAUGUGCGAAAGCGUGGGGAUCAAACAGG
rnacentral:rRNA from 1 species